rnacentral:rRNA from 1 species
GCUAGCUACAGGCUUAACACAUGCAAGUCGAGGGGCAGCAUGGUCUUAGCUUGCUAAGGCCGAUGGCGACCGGCGCACGGGUGAGUAACACGUAUCCAACCUGCCGUCUACUCUUGGACAGCCUUCUGAAAGGAAGAUUAAUACAAGAUGGCAUCAUGAGUCCGCAUGUUCACAUGAUUAAAGGUAUUCCGGUAGACGAUGGGGAUGCGUUCCAUUAGAUAGUAGGCGGGGUAACGGCCCACCUAGUCUUCGAUGGAUAGGGGUUCUGAGAGGAAGGUCCCCCACAUUGGAACUGAGACACGGUCCAAACUCCUACGGGAGGCAGCAGUGAGGAAUAUUGGUCAAUGGGCGCAGGCCUGAACCAGCCAAGUAGCGUGAAGGAUGACUGCCCUAUGGGUUGUAAACUUCUUUUAUAAAGGAAUAAAGUCGGGUAUGGAUACCCGUUUGCAUGUACUUUAUGAAUAAGGAUCGGCUAACUCCGUGCCAGCAGCCGCGGUAAUACGGAGGAUCCGAGCGUUAUCCGGAUUUAUUGGGUUUAAAGGGAGCGUAGAUGGAUGUUUAAGUCAGUUGUGAAAGUUUGCGGCUCAACCGUAAAAUUGCAGUUGAUACUGGAUAUCUUGAGUGCAGUUGAGGCAGGCGGAAUUCGUGGUGUAGCGGUGAAAUGCUUAGAUAUCACGAAGAACUCCGAUUGCGAAGGCAGCCUGCUAAGCUGCAACUGACAUUGAGGCUCGAAAGUGUGGGUAUCAAACAGGAUUAGAUACCCUGGUAGUCCACACGGUAAACGAUGAAUACUCGCUGUUUGCGAUAUACUGCAAGCGGCCAAGCGAAAGCGUUAAGUAUUCCACCUGGGGAGGAAGCCGGCAAACGGUGAAACUCAAAGGAAUAGACGGGGGGCCCGCACAAGCGGAGGAACAUGUGGUUUAAUUCGAUGAUACGCGAGGAACCUUACCCGGGCUUAAAUUGCAGAUGAAUUGCGGUGAAAGCCGUAAGCCGCAAGGCAUCUGUGAAGGUGCUGCAUGGUUGUCGUCAGCUCGUGCCGUGAGGUGUCGGCUUAAGUGCCAUAACGAGCGCAACCCUUGUUGUCAGUUACUAACAGGUUCCGCUGAGGACUCUGACAAGACUGCCAUCGUAAGAUGUGAGGAAGGUGGGGAUGACGUCAAAUCAGCACGGCCCUUACGUCCGGGGCUACACACGUGUUACAAUGGGGGGUACAGAGGGCCGCUACCACGCGAGUGGAUGCCAAUCCCAAAAACCUCUCUCAGUUCGGACUGGAGUCUGCAACCCGACUCCACGAAGCUGGAUUCGCUAGUAAUCGCGCAUCAGCCACGGCGCGGUGAAUACGUUCCCGGGCCUUGUACACACCGCCCGUCAAGCCAUGGGAGCCGGGGGUACCUGAAGUGCGUAACCGCGAGGAGCGCCCUAGGGUAAAACUGG